GAAAUGUUGGGUUAAGUCCCGCAACGAGCGCAACCCUUAUCCUUUGUUGCCAGCGGUCCGGCCGGGAACUCAAAGGAGACUGCCAGUGAUAAACUGGAGGAAGGUGGGGAUGACGUCAAGUCAUCAUGGCCCUUACGACCAGGGCUACACACGUGCUACAAUGGCGCAUACAAAGAGAAGCGACCUCGCGAGAGCAAGCGGACCUCAUAAAGUGCGUCGUAGUCCGGAUUGGAGUCUGCAACUCGACUCCAUGAAGUCGGAAUCGCUAGUAAUCGUGGAUCAGAAUGCCACGGUGAAUACGUUCCCGGGCCUUGUACACACCGCCCGUCACACCAUGGGAGUGGGUUGCAAAAGAAGUAGGUAGCUUAACCUUCGGGAGGGCGCUUACCACUUUGUGAUUCAUGACUGGGGUGAAGUCGUAACAAGGUAACCGUAGGGGAACCUGCGGUUGGAUCACCUCCUU
rnacentral:rRNA from 1 species